rnacentral:rRNA from 1 species
GGGCAGCUACCCAGCAAUGGGAUGCGAAUCUCGAGAGCCUGUCUCAGUUCGGAUUGGAGGCUGAAACCCGCCUCCAUGAAGUUGGAUUCGCUAGUAAUCGCGCAUCAGCCAUGGCGCGGUGAAUACGUUCCCGGGCCUUGUACACACCGCCCGUCAAGCCAUGGGAGCCGGGGGUGCCUGAAGUUCGUGACCGCAAGGAGCGACCUAGGGCAAAACUGGUGACUGGGGCUAAGUCGUAACAAGGUAGC